GACGAACGCUGGCGGCGUGCUUAACACAUGCAAGUCGAACGGAAAGGCCCAGCUUGCUGGGUACUCGAGUGGCGAACGGGUGAGUAACACGUGGGUGAUCUGCCCUGCACUCUGGGAUAAGCCUGGGAAACUGGGUCUAAUACCGGAUAUGACCGACUGUCGCAUGGUGGUUGGUGGAAAGCUUUUGCGGUGUGGGAUGGGCCCGCGGCCUAUCAGCUUGUUGGUGGGGUAAUGGCCUACCAAGGCGACGACGGGUAGCCGACCUGAGAGGGUGAACGGCCACACUGGGACUGAGACACGGCCCAGACUCCUACGGGAGGCAGCAGUGGGGAAUAUUGCACAAUGGGCGCAAGCCUGAUGCAGCGACGCCGCGUGAGGGAUGACGGCCUUCGGGUUGUAAACCUCUUUCACCAGGGACGAAGCGUGAGUGACGGUACCUGGAGAAGAAGCACCGGCCAACUACGUGCCAGCAGCCGCCGUAACAC
rnacentral:rRNA from 1 species